UGCAGGAGGUUACAUUAUUUCAUCCUAAUGUACAACACCUUGACUUUUUGGAGUAAAAGAGAACUAUAAUGACUAUCUUCUGGAGAUGACCAAGCUGAGCCUGACGGAGGAGUCAAAUGCAUCAUAAAUCAUGAGUCCCUGCGUGAUCUAAAUCCAGCCUACCUUGAAUGCCUCUCUUAUCUCCUGCUCAUUUCCCUUGACUGCUAGUUGGUCAGAUUCUUGUAGAGAGCUUAAGCUUGCAAUAAAUCUUUGUACUCAUUUGAA